rnacentral:rRNA from 1 species
UACGGGGGGGGCAAGCGUUGUUCGGAAUUACUGGGCGUAAAGGGCUCGUAGGCGGCCAACUAAGUCAGACGUGAAAUCCCCAGGCUCAACCUGGGAACUGCGUCUGAUACUGGAUGGCUUGAAUCCGGGAGAGGGAUGCAGAAUUCCAGGUGUAGCGGUGAAAUGCGUAGAUAUCUGGAGGAACACCGGUGGCGAAGGCGGCAUCCUGGACCGAUACUGACGCUGAGGAGCGAAAGCCAGGGGAGCAAACGGG